UACGAAGGUCCCGAGCGUUAUCCGGAUUUAUUGGGUUUAAAGGGUGCGUAGGCGGGUUAUUAAGUCAGUGGUGAAAGCCUUCAGCUCAACUGAAGAAUUGCCAUUGAUACUGAUGAUCUUGAGUAUGAUUGAGGUGGGCGGAAUGUGUCAUGUAGCGGUGAAAUGCUUAGAUAUGACAUAGAACACCUAUUGCGAAGGCAGCUAACUACGCAAAUAUUGACGCUGAGGCACGAAAGCGUGGGGAUCAAACAGG
rnacentral:rRNA from 1 species